rnacentral:piRNA from 1 species
UAAGAAGUUCAGAGACAGUGGCUGGAAAC